rnacentral:lncRNA from 1 species
CUGCGAUUUGGACCUGUCACCUGUUUAAACUGCCUGAUUUAGCUCUAGGAGCCGUUAUAAAAUUGUACUGUCGCAGUAUCCUCAAGACGAGUACUCCAGGUAGUUUAGAAUACAUUUACGCUCGUGCUGGUAUGCCGAGUGAAUUUUUACAGGGUCGUUCAGGUUGUUCCGGACUGUUGGGUGCCGUCAGAGUUGACGGUGGACCCGUAUCGCCUUUUUGGCGUCAGAUUGUGCCGAGGGCACGUUACCUGUUGGUUGUUAGACCAGUUUGAGUCGGUUACUUGACUUUGGCUAUUGAGAGCCUGAUUGAGCUCGACAGAGAUACGCUGCAUACUCGGUUGGGUAGCGCCCACGAGUGCCACUCCGGAGUCAGGCUUGUGCUUUUGCGUUGGUGUCGCUCAUGCCAGUUGGACUUGCUCUCCACGGACCAGUUAGUGUGGAUAGAGCC